rnacentral:tRNA from 1 species
GGGCCUGUAGCUCAGCCUGGUAGAGCAUCGGCCUUUUAAGCCGAGAGUCGCGGGUUCGAAUUUCCCGUCGGGCCCA